GACGAACGCUGGCGGCGUGCUUAACACAUGCAAGGCGAACGGUGAAAGCGGAGCUUGCUCCGCUGGAUCAGUGGCGAACGGGUGAGUAACACGUGGGCAACCUGCCCUUCACUUCGGGAUAACUCCGGGAAACCGGGGCUAAUACAGGCUAUGACCUCUGCAGGCAUCCGCGGAGGUGGAAAGUUUUUCGGUGAAGGAUGGGCCGGCGGCCUAUCAGCUUGUUGGUGAGGUAGUGGCGCACCAAGGCGACGACGGGUAGCCGGCCUGAGAGGGCGGCCGGCCACACGGGGAAUGAGACAGGGCCCAGACUCCUACGGGAGGCAGCAGUGGGGAAUAUUGCGCAACGGGCGAAAGCCUGACGCAGCAACGCCGCGUGCGGGAUGACGGCCUUCGGGUUGUAAACCGCUUUCAGCAGGGAAGAAGCCGCAAGGUGACGGUACCUGCAGAAGAAGCACCGGCUAACUACGUGCCAGCCGCCGCCGUAA
rnacentral:rRNA from 1 species